rnacentral:rRNA from 1 species
AGCGUACACGGUGGAUGCCCUGGCAGUCAGAGGCGAUGAAGGACGUGCUAAUCUGCGAUAAGCGUCGGUAAGGUGAUAUGAACCGUUAUAACCGGCGAUUUCCGAAUGGGGAAACCCAGUGUGUUUCGACACACUAUCAUUAACUGAAUCCAUAGGUUAAUGAGGCGAACCGGGGGAACUGAAACAUCUAAGUACCCCGAGGAAAAGAAAUCAACCGAGAUUCCCCCAGUAGCGGCGAGCGAACGGGGAGCAGCCCAGAGCCUGAAUCAGUGUGUGUGUUAGUGGAAGCGUCUGGAAAGGCGCGCGAUACAGGGUGACAGCCCCGUACACAAAAAUGCACAUGCUGUGAGCUCGAUGAGUAGGGCGGGACACGUGGUAUCCUGUCUGAAUAUGGGGGGACCAUCCUCCAAGGCUAAAUACUCCUGACUGACCGAUAGUGAACCAGUACCGUGAGGGAAAGGCGAAAAGAACCCCGGCGAGGGGAGUGAAAAAGAACCUGAAACCGUGUACGUACAAGCAGUGGGAGCCUCUUUAUGGGGUGACUGCGUACCUUUUGUAUAAUGGGUCAGCGACUUAUAUUCUGUAGCAAGGUUAACCGAAUAGGGGAGCCGAAGGGAAACCGAGUCUUAACUGGGCGUUAAGUUGCAGGGUAUAGACCCGAAACCCGGUGAUCUAGCCAUGGGCAGGUUGAAGGUUGGGUAACACUAACUGGAGGACCGAACCGACUAAUGUUGAAAAAUUAGCGGAUGACUUGUGGCUGGGGGUGAAAGGCCAAUCAAACCGGGAGAUAGCUGGUUCUCCCCGAAAGCUAUUUAGGUAGCGCCUCGUGAAUUCAUCUCCGGGGGUAGAGCACUGUUUCGGCAAGGGGGUCAUCCCGACUUACCAACCCGAUGCAAACUGCGAAUACCGGAGAAUGUUAUCACGGGAGACACACGGCGGGUGCUAACGUCCGUCGUGAAGAGGGAAACAACCCAGACCGCCAGCUAAGGUCCCAAAGUCAUGGUUAAGUGGGAAACGAUGUGGGAAGGCCCAGACAGCCAGGAUGUUGGCUUAGAAGCAGCCAUCAUUUAAAGAAAGCGUAAUAGCUCACUGGUCGAGUCGGCCUGCGCGGAAGAUGUAACGGGGCUAAACCAUGCACCGAAGCUGCGGCAGCGACGCUUAUGCGUUGUUGGGUAGGGGAGCGUUCUGUAAGCCUGUGAAGGUGUGCUGUGAGGCAUGCUGGAGGUAUCAGAAGUGCGAAUGCUGACAUAAGUAACGAUAAAGCGGGUGAAAAGCCCGCUCGCCGGAAGACCAAGGGUUCCUGUCCAACGUUAAUCGGGGCAGGGUGAGUCGACCCCUAAGGCGAGGCCGAAAGGCGUAGUCGAUGGGAAACAGGUUAAUAUUCCUGUACUUGGUGUUACUGCGAAGGGGGGACGGAGAAGGCUAUGUUGGCCGGGCGACGGUUGUCCCGGUUUAAGCGUGUAGGCUGGUUUUCCAGGCAAAUCCGGAAAAUCAAGGCUGAGGCGUGAUGACGAGGCACUACGGUGCUGAAGCAACAAAUGCCCUGCUUCCAGGAAAAGCCUCUAAGCAUCAGGUAACAUCAAAUCGUACCCCAAACCGACACAGGUGGUCAGGUAGAGAAUACCAAGGCGCUUGAGAGAACUCGGGUGAAGGAACUAGGCAAAAUGGUGCCGUAACUUCGGGAGAAGGCACGCUGAUAUGUAGGUGAAGUCCCUCGCGGAUGGAGCUGAAAUCAGUCGAAGAUACCAGCUGGCUGCAACUGUUUAUUAAAAACACAGCACUGUGCAAACACGAAAGUGGACGUAUACGGUGUGACGCCUGCCCGGUGCCGGAAGGUUAAUUGAUGGGGUUAGCGGUAACGCGAAGCUCUUGAUCGAAGCCCCGGUAAACGGCGGCCGUAACUAUAACGGUCCUAAGGUAGCGAAAUUCCUUGUCGGGUAAGUUCCGACCUGCACGAAUGGCGUAAUGAUGGCCAGGCUGUCUCCACCCGAGACUCAGUGAAAUUGAACUCGCUGUGAAGAUGCAGUGUACCCGCGGCAAGACGGAAAGACCCCGUGAACCUUUACUAUAGCUUGACACUGAACAUUGAGCCUUGAUGUGUAGGAUAGGUGGGAGGCUUUGAAGUGUGGACGCCAGUCUGCAUGGAGCCGACCUUGAAAUACCACCCUUUAAUGUUUGAUGUUCUAACGUUGACCCGUAAUCCGGGUUGCGGACAGUGUCUGGUGGGUAGUUUGACUGGGGCGGUCUCCUCCUAAAGAGUAACGGAGGAGCACGAAGGUUGGCUAAUCCUGGUCGGACAUCAGGAGGUUAGUGCAAUGGCAUAAGCCAGCUUGACUGCGAGCGUGACGGCGCGAGCAGGUGCGAAAGCAGGUCAUAGUGAUCCGGUGGUUCUGAAUGGAAGGGCCAUCGCUCAACGGAUAAAAGGUACUCCGGGGAUAACAGGCUGAUACCGCCCAAGAGUUCAUAUCGACGGCGGUGUUUGGCACCUCGAUGUCGGCUCAUCACAUCCUGGGGCUGAAGUAGGUCCCAAGGGUAUGGCUGUUCGCCAUUUAAAGUGGUACGCGAGCUGGGUUUAGAACGUCGUGAGACAGUUCGGUCCCUAUCUGCCGUGGGCGCUGGAGAACUGAGGGGGGCUGCUCCUAGUACGAGAGGACCGGAGUGGACGCAUCACUGGUGUUCGGGUUGUCAUGCCAAUGGCACUGCCCGGUAGCUAAAUGCGGAAGAGAUAAGUGCUGAAAGCAUCUAAGCACGAAACUUGCCCCGAGAUGAGUUCUCCCUGACUCCUUGA